CUGCUGAAAUUUAACUAUCUCUGUGGUGAGUUGUAGUUACUUGUUUGGCAAAAGUUCAGCUGGGUAUUUAAGUAUGGACUUUGUUUCUAUUCUUCUUAUACAAAACAGGUUUGCUUGAUGUUAUUUAGCGCACACCGUGCUGCUGUCAGCUAUUGAUUUGGAGCAGGGAAGUUUCCAGCAGGUCAGGUAAAGAGAGAUGAGAGCACUUGAUUUUAAUCCAGGCCUCAAAUGACUUGUUUCCAUUUAUCCUCCUCCUUGAAAGCCUGGCAAUUAUUUAUUACAAAACAAGGAUGGGGAAAAGAAACCCAAACAAAUGGAGGUACAGUAUCUGUGUGAUUGAAGCUGAGGUUUCCAGACAUGACGUGAGACCUUUAAUGGGACUGCAUUAGGAUGUUUAGCCAGAAUGCGAUCGCUGCCUCUCAGCGCAUUGUGAGGUGCUUUGGUGAUGGUGGGGAAGGGGUUGCGGCUUGUUAGCGAUGAAUUGCCAUCCUUGGAGGCACACGAGAGCUUUCAGUGUGGAAAUAAGAAACCUAAGGCAUUCUGAGCCAUAGGCAAGGCGAGCUAAAUUAACUGGCUUCAUUCAUACGCGCUCUGAUUCGGCCUGGGAGCCAGCGUUCGGCCUGUUGAUUAGGCCUGCUGAGCUUGGCCUGAAGAUUUCUUAUUCUCUGCCUUAAACUUACCUCAAAACUCAAGCAUACACCCCACCAGGAGCAGCUGCGUUUUGGUAGCGAGACAUCCAGGAUUACAGUAAGCUGACUUGUUCUGUUUUGAGUGCUGAAUCGGGCUUUUUUUGUGCUAACCAGUCGUUUUUAAGAAGCCUGUUGGGAGCUGGGAGGAGGUCGAAGGCAUGAAGGAAGCAAAAAGUUCACUUUGGUGAACAGGUGUUUUGCACAGGUGUUUGGUGUUACAAGAAACAGGCAAUUUAGAACUCAUCAGAGACCAAAGCUGUGCUUUAAAAAGAACUAAAGGGACACAGCAACUGUUUUGGUGAAUCAGAUCUUCCUGGCUUCGGAGAGUGGGAGUUCACAGUAACCCAGACUGAGGUUUUGUUUGGUUUUGUCUGUGGAGUUUCGCCAAGUUUUAUUUCAUUUCUCGCAACCCAUUAAAGCACAAAGGAGAAAAGGACCCUUUUGAGAGCUGACAUCCGGGUCCUGAAGGCUCCUCUGCAUCACCGACUCCCUCCAAACAUCUCUCUGAAGCUCAGGAUCGUCUUGUGCUCCAGAAAACCUCUGGCAGAGCCAGCCCGUAGCUGUGCCAAGAUGUGAAUUGUGUGGCAGCUCUGCUAUCUGCCAGGAGGGAGAAAUCAUUCUCAGACCUCAGUAGCAAAAAGGGUAUUUCUUGCAAUAAAUUUUGCUAAUGCGUUUA